GACAUCAUAGCUCAGUGGCAGAGCACUGGUCUUGUAAACCAGUGGUCGUGAGUUCCAAACCCUCGCUGGGUGGCU